AGCGGACCGACGGGAGCUUGCUCCCUUAGGUCAGCGGCGGACGGGUGAGUAACACGUGGGUAACCUGCCUGUAAGACUGGGAUAACUCCGGGAAACCGGGGCUAAUACCGGAUGCUUGAUUGAACCGCAUGGUUCAAUCAUAAAAGGUGGCUUUUAGCUACCACUUGCAGAUGGACCCGCGGCGCAUUAGCUAGUUGGUGAGGUAACGGCUCACCAAGGCGACGAUGCGUAGCCGACCUGAGAGGGUGAUCGGCCACACUGGGACUGAGACACGGCCCAGACUCCUACGGGAGGCAGCAGUAGGGAAUCUUCCGCAAUGGACGAAAGUCUGACGGAGCAACGCCGCGUGAGUGAUGAAGGUUUUCGGAUCGUAAAACUCUGUUGUUAGGGAAGAACAAGUACCGUUCGAAUAGGGCGGCACCUUGACGGUACCUAACCAGAAAGCCACGGCUAACUACGUGCCAGCAGCCGCGGUAAUACGUAGGUGGCAAGCGUUGUCCGGAAUUAUUGGGCGUAAAGCGCGCGCAGGCGGUUUCUUAAGUCUGAUGUGAAAGCCCCCGGCUCAACCGGGGAGGGUCAUUGGAAACUGGGGAACUUGAGUGCAGAAGAGGAGAGUGGAAUUCCACGUGUAGCGGUGAAAUGCGUAGAGAUGUGGAGGAAC
rnacentral:rRNA from 1 species